CAACACUCAAGCAUAGCUUGGUAUUGGGCUCCGCUGGUUCCAGCGGGCCUUAAAAUCAGUGGCGGCGCCCUCAGGCUCUGAGCGUAGUAAAUAUCCUCGCUACGGAGUCCUGGGUGGUGGUAGUCAUUAACCCUUAACUUUCUAA
rnacentral:misc_RNA from 1 species